UGGGGAAUAUUGCACAAUGGGCGCAAGCCUGAUGCAGCCAUGCCGCGUGUGUGAAGAAGGCCUUCGGGUUGUAAAGCACUUUCAGCGAGGAGGAAGGUGGUGAACUUAAUACGUUCAUCAAUUGACGUUACUCGCAGAAGAAGCACCGGCUAACUCCGUGCCAGCAGCCGCGGUAAUACGGAGGGUGCAAGCGUUAAUCGGAAUUACUGGGCGUAAAGCGCACGCAGGCGGUUUGUUAAGUCAGAUGUGAAAUCCCCGGGCUCAACCUGGGAACUGCAUUUGAAACUGGCAAGCUAGAGUCUCGUAGAGGGGGGCUAGAAUUCCAGGUGUAGCGGUGAAAUGCGUAGAGAUCUGGAGGAAUACCGGUGGCGAAGGCGGCCCCCCUGGACGAAGACUGACGCUCAGGUGCGAAAGCGUGGGGCAGCAAACAGGAUUAGAUACCCUGGUAGUCCAGCGCUGUAAACGAUGUCGAUUUGGAGGUUGUGCCCUUGAGGCGUGGCUUCCGGAGCUAACGCGUUAAAUCGACCGCCUGGGGAGUACGGCCGCAAGGUUAAAACUCAAAGGAAUUGAC
rnacentral:rRNA from 1 species